AGAGUUCGAUCCUGGCUCAGGAUGAACGCUGGCGGCGCGCCUAACACAUGCAAGUCGAACGGUUAAAGCACCUUUUAGGUGUGUAUAAAGUGGCGAACGGCUGAGUAACACGUGGGCAACCUGCCCUCCUCUUGGGGAUAGCCUCGGGAAACCGAGGAUAAUACCCGAUACUUCAAUGUGGCCGCAUGACGACAUUGAGAAAGCUUUUGCGGAGAAGGAUGGGCCCGCGGCCUGUUAGCUUGUUGGUGGGGUAGAGGCCUACCAAGGCAAUGAUGGGUAGCUGGGUUGAGAGACCGACCAGCCAGAUUGGGACUGAGACACGGCCCAGACUCCUACGGGAGGCAGCAGUGGGGAAUCUUGCACAAUGGGCGAAAGCCUGAUGCAGCGACGCCGCGUGCGGGACGAAGGCCUUCGGGUCGUAAACCGCUUUCAGCAGGGACGAGGCCGCGAGGUGACGGUACCUGCAGAAGAAGCCCCGGCUAACUACGUGCCAGCAGCCGCGGUAAUACGUAGGGGGCAAGCGUUAUCCGGAUUCAUUGGGCGUAAAGCGCUCGUAGGCGGUCUGUUAGGUCGGGAGUUAAAUCCGGAGGCUCAACCUCCGUCCGCUCCCGAUACCGGCAGACUUGAGUUUGGUAGGGGAAGGUGGAAUUCCUAGUGUAGCGGUGGAAUGCGCAGAUAUUAGGAAGAACACCAGUGGCGAAGGCGGCCUUCUGGGCCAUAACUGACGCUGAGGAGCGAAAGCUAGGGGAGCAAACAGGAUUAGAUACCCUGGUAGUCCUAGCUGUAAACGAUGGACACUAGGUGUGGGAGAAUACGUCUUCCGUGCCGCAGCUAACGCAUUAAGUGUCCCGCCUGGGGAGUACGGCCGCAAGGCUAAAACUCAAAGGAAUUGAC
rnacentral:rRNA from 1 species